GGGGGAAACCCUGACGCAGCGACGCCGCGUGAGCGAUGAAGGCCUUCGGGUUGUAAAGCUCUGUUGUAAGGGAAGAAUGGCACAUGGAGUAAUAUGCUAUGUGUAUGACGGUACCUUACGAGGAAGCCCCGGCUAACUACGUGCCAGCAGCCGCGGUAAGACGUAGGGGGCGAGCGUUGUCCGGAAUUACUGGGCGUAAAGAGCACGUAGGCGGAUAUUUAAGUCAGGUGUGAAAGACCGCAGCUCAACUGCGGGGUUGCACCUGAAACUGGGUAUCUUGAGGGCAGGAGAGGGCAGUGGAAUUCCUGGUGUAGCGGUGAAAUGCGUAGAAAUCAGGGGGAACACCGGUGGCGAAGGCGACUGUCUGGACUGACCCUGACGCUGAGGUGCGAAAGCGUGGGUAGCAAACAGGAUUAGAUACCCUGGUAGUCCACGCUGUAAACGAUGGAUACUAGGUGUGGGAGGUAUCGACCCCUUCCGUGCCGCAGCUAACGCAAUAA
rnacentral:rRNA from 1 species